rnacentral:lncRNA from 1 species
GCGCCUUGAAGUAGAACACCAUUGCCAGCACUGUUUCUCUUCUCUCCUCUCUCUCAGCGCCUUCCUCGUGGCAGCUCGGCUCACCAACUGUAUAUCCAGUUGACCGCGUGCAGGCUAAUUUUACCGCAAAUCAAGAAGAGGCAGAGGCCGAGAGAGAAGAAGAGGCAGAGGCCGAGAGAGAACAGAGAAGAGGCAGAAUAGAUAGACGCAGGAGGGGGUGAAGGGAGGGAGACG